rnacentral:rRNA from 1 species
GACGAACGCUGGCGGCGUGCUUAAUACAUGCAAGUCGAGCGAGGUCCAUCUGGUGGCAACACCAGUGAAGGCCGAGCGGCGAACGGGUGAGUAACACGUGAGCAACCUGCCCCGAAGUCUGGAAUAACAUCGGGAAACCGGUGCUAAUACCGGAUCGCCCCACCUGACCGCAUGAUCGGGUGAGGAAAGAUUUAUCGCUUCGGGAGGGGCGUCGCGGCCUAUCAGCAGUUGGUGGGGUAACGGCCUACCAAGGCGUCGACGGGUAGCUGGUCUGAGAGGACGACCAGCCACACUGGGACUGAGACACGGCCCAGACUCCCACGGGAGGCAGCAGUAGGGAAUCUUGCGCAAUGGGCGAAAGCCUGACGCAGCAACGCCGCGUGGGGGAUGAC